rnacentral:rRNA from 1 species
UUCUGAGAUCGCAGCGAACCAAAAAGAAAAAAAUCUCAUGUACCUUAUCCGGCUUCCUCCCGUCGCGCACUUUCCCUCGCAACCACCCCAAUCCAACCCCACCCCACCUGCAACGCCCCGACCAACGGCCCACCCAGCUCCGGCGCGCCUGCCGGCCCCACCUCCUUCCGGCUCACCGGCGCCCCAGCCUCCUACGGGCGCGGGGUCGUCGGCGCCCUUGCCUCCUUCCGGCGGCGCGAGGCCGCCGCCGCCCCCGCCUCCUCCUGGACCGCCGGCGACCCUGCCUCUUCCUGCCAAGGCUGCCGCCUCCUCCAGGCACGCCGUGCCCCUGCCUCCUUCCGGCGCGAGGCCACCGCCUCCUCUAGGCACACCGGCGCCCCUGCCUCCUUCCGGCUCAAGGGCACUUCCGCCACGAGGCAGCAGCCCUCCUUCACCCACCGCCCGAUGUGUCGCCGCCCCCGCUAAUCCACUCCCCUCCUCUGGCUCCUGAUUGAUGAUCCCGGCUCAUCCUGCUGCUCGCCUCCUCCCUCGCGUAUGCAUCAACAAAAAAUAGGUGAGUCGCUGCAGUCCAAGUCGUGCCAUAGCAGCAGGGCGACUCUUCCAGGAUGCAUCUCACGCUCAACCGGCUCCAAUUUUGCGCGCAUGGGGUUGGUGCUGCUCCAGUGAGCUCCUCCAUCCCCAGCUUGUCCCUGAAUGCAGACUCUGCACCGCGCAGGUUGAAUUUCACCCUGCAUCCCCGACGUAGCGCUGCUCCGGCUCCUCCCCCGCUUGCUGCCAGGGACAACCAUGUUGAUGGCGAUUGAAAAAGGAUUCUGAAAUAAUAUUAUUGAGACUGAAGACCAAGUUUGAUAAUGCACGAUGUCAGAGGAUUCCAGGGCUUUCUCUGAGGUGGUUGAUGGCUUCCGAGAAAUGCGUUCAUAUCUUACAAGUUUCAGGGGUUCAAGUUCAUCUAUAUAAGAAGGAAUGCCAAUUUUGUUGCACAUCUGUGUGUGAAAGAGGCGCUGAAACUUGAUGUGCUUACUAUUUCUUUUCUUAUAACACCUGGCUACAUCACGUGGUUUCAAUCACAGUUAUUUUUAACUGCCAUGGCCCGACACCUCCUCCAUCUCGAUGCCGCCGUCAUGACCUAGCCUACAUUUGUUGGUUGCUGCUAGCUGCUGUUGUUGCGUCCUGC